rnacentral:lncRNA from 1 species
UUUUGUUGGUUUGUUUGUUGAAGUUGGUCCGGUUAUGGCUAAUGUCCCACUGCUUUUCCUUGUAUUCACACUUCCUCCAUCCAUUCUCCUUUUCGGACAAUCCUUCACCUUAUGCUCCGUGGAUCCACACAUAAAAUGUCCACUAUUCAUCAUUGGAUUGGGGCUAUUGGGAGAGAUAUGUCCCUCCUGCACAAACUUAGAACACACAAACUUUC